AUAAACACACACAUACACAAACACACACACACACACUCACACUCACACUCACACUUCCUCCUCUAUAGUGUUGCUCGUAUGUUCAUGAGUUUAGGGCUUACCUACUAAGAACUGGACAAACUAUUAGGAAUCUCAUGCCUGGAGAAAACGGAUUCUCCAUUCUCAGCAGCCAUUGGUUGACUAUGGUCUUCAUCUAGGGGUGGGACUUGUGAACAGCCCCAUCUGUGCUGCUGUGGUGUCCACUGGCACUGUCAUCAUGCAGGUUGUCUGGACAAGCAUAAUUUUUGGACGUCAUGGUUGGAACUGCCUGCCGCGAUCAGAAGAAACUAUCUUGUAGCCAGUGUGCUGGCCCCAUGGCUUCUAUGCCCUUCCUGGAUCCUCUUCUAUGACAUUUCUUGAGCUUAGGAAUAGGGGUUGCAUUGUUGAUGAAACACCAUAGAAGUGUUUUGUGUCAUCUCAAAAGACUCAUGUAGGACAGACCUGAGGUAAAACCACCUGCUUCCUGAUGUCUGUUUCUGUAUUUCUUUCACAUUUUCUUUUGUUUAAAGCAAAACAAAAUGUUUUUGAAAGACAACUGUAGAGAUUACUGAGCAUAUUUUGUUUAUGAGGUGGCUUUUAUUUCAUCAUAACACAAAUCACAAAACUGUAUCAACGAUUGAAAAGCAUUGAAGGCUGAGUAAGUGAAACAUAUCCUCUAGUUGAGAAAGGUGAUGGGCAAGUUACUGGUUUAAACUUCAGAUUGACCUCCAUUUGAAAUACUUAGAUGCCAGCGCUCCCCCGACAGAUGGCUACAGGGAACCAUGUGAUUGUGAAGCCAGGCAUGGAAUCUUCAAUUGAUUGCUCUGUGACUGUAGUGAGCUCUUUAAGAAGAAUCUUUAUCUCCAGUCUUGACAAUGACACUGAAGAAAUGAAUCCCUGAAUUUUAGUUGCAGACCAUAUGAGUGCCUGUUGACAUUGUGACGUAACCCUCCUCCUGAUUACCAGCAACCUUUGUGAGGUAGCAGGUAGACCCUGAAUGUGAUGGAGAAUCAUGUGUGCUCGACUAAACUAUCCUGGUCUGUCCCUCAGAGAAGGGAUCUGAAGAAUGAGCCAACCACCAUACAAAGUAUACUGAUCUCUGUGAUUCUCUCCUACCUACAUCUGUAAGAGGAAGGACUUUGAACACAACACCAUGCUUAGAAUGGCAUAAUCAUAAUGGCAGCAUUGGCCUAAUCAUUUUAGCAUGCCUUUGGUACCAUUUCAUGCACUGAAAAUUCAUUAAAUGCUUGUGCUCUGAUCUCCUAUGAAGCUGAGUGUUACAUAAAAAUACAAGCUUGUCAUUCCUAUUAGCAAUGUUAUUAGUAAUUAAAAGGAGGAGAAAGUGAAAGAUUCGAAUGUACUAUUUACAUUGCUGGGUGGAAAAGGUAUCACUUACAUUUAUUUACAAGGCCAAGUCGGGUCUCAGUAGCAACAGCAUCCAAAGUUAAGAUGUUGUGAUCAAGAAAAAUAACAUUCCACUAGAAAAUUCUAUAUAAAAAAAGCACAUUUAAGCUAAGCAAUCUCCCCACAUACAACUUAUUUUUAAAAAUUGUAUAUUUACUGUAAUUGAUCACAACUUUUAAGUCAGAAAAUAAAAAGCAGAAGAGGAUAUGAUUGUUCAGGGUAGACUUUUAAAAUUUGUAAUAUGUUCUUAGGACUUGGGUUUUAUUCCAAAAUAUUCAUUUGUACAAAAAAAAAUCAAGCUCUAGGAAACAAAGAGCAAGAGGUGAGUUCAAACAAGAACAAUGUGGGAAGGUUCGGUGAUAGAUUAGCUAAUAAUGGGGCCCUAUGGGUAGGCAUUGUGACACAAUCCAAUAUUGCCACGCCCCAAGUUCAAGCAAAUCUUGGAUAGCCCUGGAACCUGGAGAUAGCCUUCAGUUGAUGAAACUCCUUGGGAACUCCAAGGAUGUGCUGUUCCCUAAGCAGUGCCUGCCGUUACACUCUGGUUUGCAUGUUUCUAAUUGGAGAGGACUGGCCAGACAAUGGCAAAUGUUAUCACUGUUUUUCCUGCUUUCCUGCGCAGAUCCUCAGACCCAUAGACGCUUCAGAGCAGAGUGUGGCCCACAACCAAGGUUUGGGCCCUGCUGCGGCUCAUUCUGCAUGCAAGUGGAAGACUGAAGGAGAGCCGCUCUUCAGGCUCCAUUAUGAAGUCUCAACACCGGUGAGCAACGUACCAUGCAACUGUGCAGAAUUAUGCUGGGAUCGCGCAAGGCACAAUCGAUAGUUUCCAGAAUGCUUUGCUGUUUAAAGUGCUUCAUGACUACUGUUAUGUCAAGCUUGACUGCAUGGAAACAAGCUAAACCCAGCAGAAGGGUCUUAAAGUAGGUCAGAUUUUUAUCACUGACAAUAGAUGAGAAAAAAAAACCUUCACUUUUCUAUUCUGUCGUUCUGCCUUCCCAAGACAGUAAGUUCUAUUGAAGUCUUAAUCAUGUCUAGUACCUCAUAGGGAACGAGGAAGGCAAACGGGUCACCACGCAAUGAUGACGUCUCCUGUCAGUACCAUAAUGACGAGGGGUUGAUCCACACCAUUGGGAAGAUAUUGGCAAAGGUUUCAGAAGAAUGUUCACAUGCAUGGAAUAGUUUCCCAAUUCGGAGAUCCCCUGUGGACACAGACAUAGAGUCCCUUCCCCUUUUUAACUUUCUCAAUAAAUUUUGAAAUGAUGCUUUAUUUAGCGUUCAUUUCACAUUUAUUUAUUUACCAUCUUUUUUAAAGUUUCUCUGGCAUUUGGGGCUAAAGACUGGCACAAUCCCUGGCCUGCCCAGCUCCUAGCCUGUAUCCAGCCUUCACAAAUGUGCCCCACAAGAACAAGUGAGGCUCAUCAAGCAGACGUAUGAAAUGCUCGAGGUUUUCUAUAAACUUUUUUUUUCCUGAUUAGAUAUAUUCUUUGAAAAUGUCACGAUUUAUAGAAUGCAUUCGCGUCAUAUCCCCACCUCGUUCAUUUUCCUCAAAUACAAGUGUGCUCAUAACACCGACGCUAUAAAAAAUGUUUCUCUAUUACACUGAGUUCUUCCGUAAGUUGAGGCUAUUUGUUCAUUCGAGUAAACGAAAAAUUUUGAAACAGUCUCACUUAAAAAGCAAUGAACAGAAUCUCCUUCGGUGAGGGACAUGGCUGUCUGGUGUCUUCACCUCAGCCUACGUUCCUGAGGUCAUGGGCUUCCUCCGUGCGCUGGUGUUUUAUAUUCAUGCUCUCCGCUGAGGAGCUUCUUUCUAAUGGCUUCGCGGUGCUUAUUUUGCAGUUCUGUCGGGGACAACUAAAUGACAUCUAGACUGGAGUUACAAGGAACCUUGCUUUCAGGAAAGCAAGUAGAAGCUCGCUGGAAAAUAACAGGCUCUACAAACUACCCGGUUAUUUCCUUGCUUUUUGUUUUUAGAGUCCCCAGCCCCUGGGGUAGGAAGACCCGGAGCCCUUGAUUCAGGCUCCGAGGACUCCGAGGCUGUGCCCACCAAGUACUGUGAAGCUUCGAUUCACGUGCUCUAUUUAUCUGCGGCAUGUACGCCAUUUUAAUCUAAGACUUUGGUUUAAUUCAGAUCUUGUAACCUCAGAGUGUCCCAUUUAUCUACACUGAUCUCCCAAUUCAGUCGGAAUUAAUCAACACUGUGAGGCUCGCAGAGAGCACGGUGCAGUCCAGUUCUCCCAAAUUAUUCACCAGUCCCACCUUUACUGUAGUGUCCCCAAAUCAACAGACUUCUGCCUUUGAAUCAGUCCUCUUUGCCACAGGCAACGGAAAACGUCGACUUGGUAGAAAUGCGAAUUGCAAUGGACGUGAUGAGAAGAUAUCUUCAUAACCACACGGCCUGAUGAGGCUCGAUGAAAAUGUAAUGGACAAUUUGGUCCCGCAGAGCAAGCUCCAUACGGACCGGACCACAGAGACGCGGUUUCUCUGCUACCUUCCUCAUCAACGGCUGUAUCUCACCAACAAGAGGAGGCCGCUUCUUAAUCCAGGGCACUUUAAAUAUCUCAGAACAUUAGUGGAAGACUCGAUUUGCCUGUUCAUAGACAGUAUUCAUAUACUGAAUACUAAUGCGUACACACGCCAGGAGCAGCGCUGUUGACACAAAGGCACGCAUCGACAGUGAGGAUCUCGACGUCAAGAAGAUCGAAGUGACAUUUCUAGCUCGGCGAUGACAGGCACCAUUGUGUCUGGAACCCACAAGUUCAGAUCACUGUGAGCCUUGCCCAUCUGGUUUCUUGUUGGCAUUAAGAUACAGUGUGUGAAGGAUGUUCUUGGAGAAUAUUAAAAUCCUGGAAGAAACACCACCAAGCUUCUGGCUUAGUGUGGUAAAAGACAAGCUGCAACCUGAUCAAGUUAUUCUGGAAAACAUCUGCACAAGCCCUAACUAUCUGUCAGAUACACAGGGCUCGACACAGCUGACUAGGAACAAAUCCUGCUCCACACCUCUGGUGUUUUUAUGGUGCGCCACCUCCCACAGUGUGCCUUGUUCAGUCUGUCAUUGCUUUCUGCAUGAAAACUCAUUCUGUUUCUCUCCUGCUGCUGGUGAGUAAACUCCCUGAUGCGUUUGCAAUUUAUUGUGAUCUAUUUCCCCCAUUCCAAUAGAAAUAAAUCUCACAAACCUUCUCAUAGUGACCAAAGUGGAAGACUAUAAAGAUUAAGAAUGAUGUCAGUGAUAAGCACAGGGUGGUUACUAAUUUAGUGGUGUGUGACACUAAACCUCUUAUUGGUAACAUUUUAAUAUUGGAUAUAUUGAACAAAACUUGUAAUCAGAAGCCGUUGGCAAACAGCACCCGUGAGAUAGCGCAGUUAGUUGGUUUCCUUUUUCUUCUGUGACUUAUGCUUUUAUCAAAUCUACUAAAUAUGUUUUUUGUUUUGCCUUGCAAACUAUGUUCUCUAAGCUGUGGCACAAGGAAUCUGGUGUGGAAGUCACAAAAAGAUGCUUGAUCUGUGAUGGAGGAGUAUCUGGAAGAAUUAGGAUCCAAUCACAUAUUUCUUCAUUCCUUGUGAGUUUUGCUAUAGUUCUGCUAUAGCACCCUCUGUCCUUCAUCAGAUAGAAUGACCCACACAGCAUGAACAUAUGUGAGAGUCAAUAUUGAUCGCCACCUUGACAAAAAGCCUCCUAGAAUGCCAAUGAGAAAUUACUAUUUACAUUAAUGACUGGUCUACAUCAAUCGAGGUGGGAAGAGGUUGAGAGCACAAGCACUCACUCCUCUCUCCUUUCAGAAUGCAGAUGUAAUUAUUCCAGCUGUUUUAUGCUCUUCACGCCAUAACAUCUUUGUCAGGAAUGAGAAGAGCCUUAGAUUAUGAGUUAGAUAGACCCUUCCUUACUCCCCUAAACAGUUGGGGAGAAAAGGGUUUGCUCAACUUACACUUCCA
rnacentral:sRNA from 1 species